GAUCCUGGCUCAGGAUGAACGCUAGCGACAGGCUUAACACAUGCAAGUCGGAGGGGCAGCACGGUGUAGCAAUACACUGGUGGCGACCGGCGCACGGGUGAGUAACACGUGUGCAACCAACCCCGUACCGGGAGAUAACCCGCGGAAACGUGGACUAAUAUCCCAUAAGACUGUUUCACCGCAUGGUGAAACAUUUAAAAUUCCGGUGGUACGGGACGGGCACGCGCGACAUUAGGUAGUUGGCGGGGUAAGGGCCCACCAAGCCG
rnacentral:rRNA from 1 species